rnacentral:rRNA from 1 species
UACGGAGGAUGCAAGCGUUAUCCGGAAUGAUUGGGCGUAAAGCGUCCGCAGGUGGCUAUGUAAGUCUGCUGUUAAAGAGUGAGGCUCAACCUCAUAAGAGCAGUGGAAACUACAUAGCUAGAGUGCGUUCGGGGCAGAGGGAAUUCCUGGUGUAGCGGUGAAAUGCGUAGAUAUCAGGAAGAACACCGGUGGCGAAAGCGCUCUGCUAGGCCGCAACUGACACUGAGGGACGAAAGCUAGGGGAGCAAACAGG